rnacentral:rRNA from 1 species
CCUACGGGUGGCAGCAGUGGGGAAUAUUGCGCAAUGGGCGAAAGCCUGACGCAGCGAAGCCGCGUGAGGGAUGAAGGUCUUCGGAUCGUAAACCUCUGUCAGCAGGGAAGAACGGUCACUGUGCUAAUCAGCAGUGAAUUGACGGUACCUGCAAAGGAAGCACCGGCUAACUCCGUGCCAGCAGCUGCGGUAAUACGGAGGGUGCGAGCGUUAAUCGGAUUUACUGGGCGUAAAGCGCUCGUAGGCGGUAUGUCAAGUCAAGGGUGAAAUAGCCGCGCUCAACGUGGGAAGUGCCUUUGAAACUGGCAGACUUGAGUGUGUGAGAGGUUAGUGGAAUUCCCGGUGUAGGGGUGAAAUGCUUAGAUAGCUGGAGGAACAUCAGUGGCGAAGGCGACUAUCUGGCACAUAACUGACGCUGAGGAGCGAAAGCGUGGGUAGCAAACAGGAUUAGAUACCCGGGUAGUC